UGACGGGGACCCGCACAAGUGGUGGAGCGUGUUGUUUAAUUCGACGAUACACGUAGAACCUUACCUAGACUUGACAUCCUUGGCGAAGUUAUAGAAAUAUAAUGGAGGUUAACCGAGAGACAGGUGGUGCAUGGUUGUCGUCAGCUCGUGUCGUGAGAUGUUGGGUUAAGUCCCGCAACGAGCGCAACCCUUAUCGUUAGUUAUUUUGUCUAACGAGACUGCCAACGCAAGUUGGAGGAAGGUGGGGAUGACGUCAAAUCAUCAUGCCCCUUAUGUCUAGGGCCACAAACGUGCUACAAUGGUCGGUACAAACAGUCGCCAAUUCGUAAGAUAGAGCUAAUCUGUAAAGCCGAUCUCAGUUCGGAUAGAGGGCUGAAAUUCGCCCUCUUGAAGUUGGAAUCACUAGUAAUCGCGAAUCAGCCA
rnacentral:rRNA from 1 species